rnacentral:rRNA from 1 species
AGCGAACGCUAGCGGAUGGCUUAACACAUGCAAGUCGAGCGGGAACUUCGGUUCCAGCGGCGGACGGGUGAGUAACACGUAGGGCACCUGCCCUCUGGUGGGGAAUAGCCGGCCGAAAGGCCGAUUAAUACCGCAUAUGGCCUACGGGUCAAAGCAGUAAUGCGCCAGGGGAUGGUCCUGCGUCCGAUUAUUUAGUCCUAGUUGGUGGGGUAACGGCCUACCAAGGGUACGAUCGGUAGCUGGUCUUAGAGGACGAUCAGCCACACUGGAACUGAGACACGGUCCAGACUCCUACGGGAGGCAGCAGUGGGGAAUAUUGCGCAAUGGGCGAAAGCCUGACGCAGCCAAUCCGCGUGGGUGAUGAAGGCCUUCGGGUUGUAAAGCCCUGUCGUGUGGGAAGAAUAAUGACGGUACCACACAAGAAAGCACCGGCUAACCCCGUG